rnacentral:rRNA from 1 species
GAUGAACGCUAGCGGCAGGCCUAAUACAUGCAAGACGAACGGUAAGUUGAGUAGCAAUACUUAGCCAAGAGUGUCGUACGGGUGCGUAACACGUAUGCAACCUACCCUAUACAGGAGGAUAGCCUAGGGAAACCUGGAUUAACCCUUCAUAGUAUUAUUGGAUGGCAUCAUUUGAUAAUUAAAAACUGAGGUGGUAUAGGAUGGGCAUGCGUCUGAUUAGUUAGUUGGCGGGGUAAUGGCCCACCAAGACGAUGAUCAGUAGGGGUUCUGAGAGGAAGAUCCCCCACACUGGCACUGAGAUACGGGCCAGACUCCUACGGGAGGCAGCAGUAGGGAAUAUUGGUCAAUGGAUGCAAGUCUGAACCAGACCAUGCCGCGUGCAGGAAGAAGGCCUUCUGGGUUGUAAACUGCUUUGCCAGGGGAUGAAUUCCAUGCGUA